AACCGACAUUUCUGUAAGUCGCUUUGGAUAAAAGUGUCUGCUAAAUUACCAUAC
rfam:Salmo salar isolate Sally breed double haploid chromosome ssa01, whole genome shotgun sequence.